rnacentral:rRNA from 1 species
UACGUAGGCAGCAAGCGUUGUUCGGAGUUACUGGGCGUAAAGAGUAUGUAGGCGGUGCGCUAAGUCUGGUGUGAAAUCUCCCGGCUCAACCGGGAGGGGGCGCCGGAAACUGGCGGACUGGAGUGUCGGAGAGGAACGCGGAAUUCCUGGUGUAGCGGUGAAAUGCGUAGAGAUCAGGAGGAACACCGGUGGUGGAGACGGCGUUCUGGACGACGACUGACGCUGAGAUACGAAAGCGUGGGGAGCAAACAGG